rnacentral:miRNA from 1 species
ACCAGGCAUUGUGGUCUCUGC